ACGGCCCAUACUCCUACGGGAGGCAGCAGUAGGGAGUUUUCGGCAAUGGGGGAAACCUUGACCGAGCAACGCCGCGUGAGUGAUGAAGGUCUUCGGAUCGUAAAGCUCUGUUACGAGGGACGAAGGACCGGCUCAGGAAAUGGGGCCGGUUUGACGGUACCUCGCCAGAAAGUGACGGCUAACUACGUGCCAGCAGCCGCGGUAAUACGUAGGUCACGAGCGUUAUCCGGAAUUAUUGGGCGUAAAGAGUGAGCAGGCGGCAUGGUAAGUCCGUAGUCAAAGCGUGGGGCUCAACCCCAUAUAGCUUCGGAUACUGCCAGGCUAGAGUACGUCAGAGGUCAACAGAACUCCAUGUGUAG
rnacentral:rRNA from 1 species